UAGCAAAGAAACUAUAGUACUUCUUAGUGUGUGCUUAUAACAAAGGAAGACGAGGCAUGGAGGCCGAGUCAGCCUUCACCACGACAGGAUGUCGUGUUGAAGGCGUGUCCGUAACAUUAGCAGACGUAUCGCACACACUUAGAAGUAACUUAGUUCGUAGCGU
rfam:Anaerosporobacter mobilis DSM 15930 genome assembly, contig: EJ17DRAFT_scaffold00011.11